rnacentral:lncRNA from 1 species
CGCCAAGCUAAAUGUCCCAAGAGAAUUAACAUCUGCCUACCGUGUUUUUUCAUAAGCCUCAGUCAUACCAGAGGUACCUGUGCAGAAACCAUACUUAAAGGAGGGAGACCUCCUGUCAGAAUUAGAGUUAAUCAAUAACUAUAGAUCCUAUAUGUACUCAUAUUUAUAAGGGAAAGGCCAGCCAACAAAAGUGGAUGAUGGAUUCAUCUU